UCGCAUCACAUUGUCACCCAUAUAUAUCAUGAUCUGUAGCUUAUUUUAUCGGUCAUUUGCUUUCUUCUCCGUCCUUUUCCUCUAGUGGAAUAUCUGUCCUCUUUAAUCAUUCAUUCAUUUGGUUUUUCUUCUUUUGUAUAUAUUUGCAGCUGUCUUCUCAAAACUCAGAGCAUGAUGAAAUAGACUUUGAGUUCUUGGGGAACAGGUCCGGCCAACCCUACAUUUUACAGACAAAUGUCUUCACGGGAGGAAAAGGAGACAGAGAGCAGAGAAUCUAUCUUUGGUUUGACCCAACCAAAGCUUUUCACUCAUACUCAGUUCUAUGGAAUACGUUUCUGAUAAUGUAUGUUCCUUUUCCCUCUUUUACUUCGUUGGAACUCAUUAAUUUCAGACACAGCCCAAUCAAACCCCUUCCAUCAGUUAUCUAGAUCUUUAGAGAAGGAAACUACAUUCGAGUAUCAAAAUAUUUAAGCUAAUAAAAAUGAUUUAGCAUCAGUAUAAAUAGUGGGUUGCUAAAUUUGUUCCCGUCCAGGAUUAGCAAACACUAGAAACAAAACCCAAGCCGGUUUCUUCCUCAAAAAUGUUUUCCCUCUUAUUUCCCACAACAGUAAAAUGUUCUCAAUGCUUUUCAUCAUUAGAAUCUUGGACAAAAGAAGUGGGUUGGUGAAUUGAUGUUGGAGCUCUCAUCAAAACUACUUUUUGGGGUCCUUCGUCUUUACAUCCACGUUCUUUCAACAUCCAAAAUCUUUUAGGCAAACACAAUCCCGUGAAUCUGUCUCUCAAGUCUCCACCUGGGUAUGUUCAAUAAAUGUGCUUCUAACACAAUCCCUUUUGGGCCGGGACCAGCUAUUUUGAGAGAACCUCUGCUUCUCUUUACUUUUUCAGACUAUUGGCCAUGCUGGUUGUCUCCAGCAUGAAACCUAAAUAAGUAGGAAAAUGAAAAUCGAGUAAAUCAAUCAGCUAUUGUUUAUUGAAAUAAGCUUUUGAGCUGUCCCCCUGCUUUUUUUGCUUUCGUAUUCAACUUCUGGACAAAAAAAUUCAAACUAAAAUUAUUGCAGAGUUCACUUUAUAUUUUAUAUGAUGCGGUUUUGUUGUUUUGUAAAUAUAAAAUUUGGCGUAUGCGUGUGGGGUCUGAUGUGUGUUGAAAAUCAGAUUCUUGGUGGACGAUGUCCCAAUAAGAGUGUUCAAGAACAGCAAAGAUUUGGGAGUUAAGUUUCCAUUCGACCAACCCAUGAAGAUAUACUCAAGCCUGUGGAAUGCGGAUGACUGGGCCACAAGGGGUGGGCUGGAGAAGACCGACUGGUCCAAGGCUCCAUUUGUGGCUUCGUACAAGAGUUUCCACGUGGAUGGGUGUGAGGCUUCAGUGGAAGCCAAAUUUUGUGCGACCCAGGGCAAGAGAUGGUGGGACCAAAGGGAAUUUCAAGAUCUCGACUCCCUUCAGUACAGGAGACUCGCCUGGGUCCGCCAGAAAUACACCAUCUACAACUACUGCACUGACCGAGUUAGAUACCCCACCAUGCCACCUGAAUGCAAGAGAGACAGAGACGUUUAGACCCUUCUACUAAUACUAAUACUAAUACCACUGCUACUACUAUUAUCUCUCUCGCUUAUUGCUUUGUUCCAUUCAUAGUUCUUUGGGAUUUGCCUCUUAUUACUAUGCUCUCAUCUUCAU
rnacentral:lncRNA from 1 species